UACGAACUGUGCGAACGUUAUUCGGAAUCACUGGGCUUACAGGGUGCGUAGGCGGCUUGCUAAGUAGGGUGUGAAAGCCCCCGGCUUAACCGGGGAAUUGCGCCCUAAACUGGCGAGCUGGAGUGAGAUAGGGGUGUGCGGAACUUCCGGUGGAGCGGUGAAAUGUGUUGAUAUCGGAAGGAACGCCGGUGGCGAAAGCGGCACACUGGAUCUCAACUGACGCUGAGGCACGAAAGCCAGGGGAGCGAACGGG
rnacentral:rRNA from 1 species